rnacentral:rRNA from 1 species
GAAGCAACAAAUGCCCUGCUUCCAGGAAAAGCCUCUAAGCAUCAGGUAACACGAAAUCGUACCCCAAACCGACACAGGUGGUCAGGUAGAGAAUACCAAGGCGCUUGAGAGAACUCGGGUGAAGGAACUAGGCAAAAUGGUGCCGUAACUUCGGGAGAAGGCACGCUGACACGUAGGUGAAGUGAUUUACUCAUGGAGCUGAAGUCAGUCGAAGAUACCAGCUGGCUGCAACUGUUUAUUAAAAACACAGCACUGUGCAAACACGAAAGUGGACGUAUACGGUGUGACGCCUGCCCGGUGCCGGAAGGUUAAUUGAUGGGGUCAGCGUAAGCGAAGCUCCUGAUCGAAGCCCCGGUAAACGGCGGCCGUAACUAUAACGGUCCUAAGGUAGCGAAAUUCCUUGUCGGGUAAGUUCCGACCUGCACGAAUGGCGUAAUGAUGGCCAGGCUGUCUCCACCCGAGACUCAGUGAAAUUGAACUCGCUGUGAAGAUGCAGUGUACCCGCGGCAAGACGGAAAGACCCCGUGAACCUUUACUAUAGCUUGACACUGAACAUUGAGCCUUGAUGUGUAGGAUAGGUGGGAGGCUUUGAAGUGUGGACGCCAGUCUGCAUGGAGCCGACCUUGAAAUACCACCCUUUAAUGUUUGAUGUUCUAACGUGGACCCGUAAUCCGGGUUGCGGACAGUGUCUGGUGGGUAGUUUGACUGGGGCGGUCUCCUCCUAAAGAGUAACGGAGGAGCACGAAGGUUGGCUAAUCCUGGUCGGACAUCAGGAGGUUAGUGCAAUGGCAUAAGCCAGCUUGACUGCGAGCGUGACGGCGCGAGCAGGUGCGAAAGCAGGUCAUAGUGAUCCGGUGGUUCUGAAUGGAAGGGCCAUCGCUCAACGGAUAAAAGGUACUCCGGGGAUAACAGGCUGAUACCGCCCAAGAGUUCAUAUCGACGGCGGUGUUUGGCACCUCGAUGUCGGCUCAUCACAUCCUGGGGCUGAAGUAGGUCCCAAGGGUAUGGCUGUUCGCCAUUUAAAGUGGUACGCGAGCUGGGUUUAGAACGUCGUGAGACAGUUCGGUCCCUAUCUGCCGUGGGCGCUGGAGAACUGAGGGGGGCUGCUCCUAGUACGAGAGGACCGGAGUGGACGCAUCACUGGUGUUCGGGUUGUCAUGCCAAUGGCACUGCCCGGUAGCUAAAUGCGGAAGAGAUAAGUGCUGAAAGCAUCUAAGCACGAAACUUGCCCCGAGAUGAGUUCUCCCUGAGACUUAGAGUCUCCUGAAGGAACGUUGAAGACGACGACGUUGAUAGGCCGGGUGUGUAAGCGCAGCGAUGCGUUGAGCUAACCGGUACUAAUGAACCGUGAGGCUUAACCUU